rnacentral:rRNA from 1 species
UACGUAGGGUGCGAGCGUUGUCCGGAAUUAUUGGGCGUAAAGGGCUCGUAGGCGGUUUGUCGCGUCUGCUGUGAAAACUCAGGGCUUAACCCUGAGCUUGCAGUGGGUACGGGCAGACUAGAGUGCGGUAGGGGAGACUGGAAUUCCUGGUGUAGCGGUGAAAUGCGCAGAUAUCAGGAGGAACACCGGUGGCGAAGGCGGGUCUCUGGGCCGUAACUGACGCUGGAG